CCUACGGGAGGCAGCAGUGGGGAAUAUUGCACAAUGGGCGGAAGCCUGAUGCAGCGACGCCGCGUGAGGGAUGACGGCCUUCGGGUUGUAAACCUCUUUCAGCAGGGACGAAGCGUAAGUGACGGUACCUGCAGAAGAAGCACCGGCUAACUACGUGCCAGCAGCCGCGGUAAUACGUAGGGUGCGAGCGUUGUCCGGAAUUACUGGGCGUAAAGGGCUCGUAGGUGGUUUGUCGCGUCGUCUGUGAAAUUCUGGGGCUUAACUCCGGGCGUGCAGGCGAUACGGGCAUAACUUGAGUACUGUAGGGGUAACUGGAAUUCCUGGUGUAGCGGUGAAAUGCGCAGAUAUCAGGAGGAACACCGAUGGCGAAGGCAGGUUACUGGGCAGUUACUGACGCUGAGGAGCGAAAGCAUGGGUAGCGAACAGGAUUAGAUACCCUGGUAGUCCAUGCCGUAAACGGUGGGCGCUAGGUGUGAGGGUCUUUCUACGACUUUCGUGCCGUAGCUAACGCAUUAAGCGCCCCGCCUGGGGAGUACGGCCGCAAGGCUAAAACUCAAAGGAAUUGACGGGGGCCCGCACAAGCGGCGGAGCAUGUGGAUUAAUUCGAUGCAACGCGAAGAACCUUACCUGGGCUUGACAUACACCAGAUCGCUGCAGAGAUGUAGUUUCCCUUUGUGGUUGGUGUACAGGUGGUGCAUGGUUGUCGUCAGCUCGUGUCGUGAGAUGUUGGGUUAAGUCCC
rnacentral:rRNA from 1 species